AAUGAACGCUGGCGGCGUGCUUAACACAUGCAAGUCGGACGAGAAAGCCUUAUUUCGGUAGGGCGAGUAAAGUGGCGCACGGGUGAGUAACGCGUAGGCAACCUACCCUUGUAUUGGGGAUAACAGGACGAAAGUUCUGCUAAUACCGGAUGAGACCUUGGUUCGGUGGGAUCGAGGUGAAAGUCGGCCUCUCAUAGAAGCUGACGUACGGGGAUGGGCCUGCGUCCUACCAGCUGGUUGGUAGGGUAGCGGCCUACCAAGGCGACGACGGGUAGCUGGUCUGAGAGGAUGAUCAGCCACACUGGCACUGGAACACGGGCCAGACUCCUACGGGAGGCAGCAGUGAGGAAUUUUGCGCAAUGGCCGCAAGGCUGACGCAGCAACGCCGCGUGGGUGAAGAAGGCCUUCGGGUCGUAAAGCCCUGUCAGGUGGGAAGAAAGGGUCUGUCAAGAAACGGAUGGAUUUUGACGGUACCACCAGAGGAAGCACCGGCUAACUCCGUGCCAGCAGCCGCCGUAAAAC
rnacentral:rRNA from 1 species